rnacentral:rRNA from 1 species
AUGUCACCAUUAGUUAAAAUAGUGGAUGCUGCAACUGUGACUGUUAGUACUAACCUUGUAACCCAGCUCCAAAUGCUGAUCACUACUUUUCUUCAGAUAGCGAAGAUCCAGCCUCUGGCCAUCUUCCCUGAUAAUGUACUUGGCACCUGUCUUACCUGGGGGAGGGUGAGGCCCAUAUUCUACCAGUUCUUUCAACCUGGUAUAAUCAGAUCAGAUUUAGACAUGACUUAUCAAAUACUCCCUCCAUUCACAAAUGUAAGAUGUUUUGGAUAUUUCAAUAUGGACUACAUACGGACUGAAAUGAGUGAACAAACACACUAA